rnacentral:rRNA from 1 species
UACAGAGGGUGCAAGCGUUAAUCGGAGUUACUGGGCGUAAAGGGCGCGUAGGUGGUUGAAUAAGUGAGAUGUGAAAGCCCUGGGCUUAACCUAGGAACUGCAUCUUAUACUGUUCAACUGGAGUACUGUAGAGGGUAGUGGAAUUUCCGGUGUAGCGGUGAAAUGCGUAGAGAUCGGAAGGAACACCAGUGGCGAAGGCGGCUACCUGGACAGAUACUGACACUGAGGCGCGAGAGCGUGGGGAGCAAACAGGAUUAGAUACCCUGGUAGUCCACGCUGUAAACGAUGAGAACUAGAUGUUGGCCAGCUUGACUGGUUAGUAUCGAAGCUAACGCGAUAAGUUCUCCGCCUGGGGAGUACGGCCGCAAGGUUAAA